UCCGAGUUGACCCCGGCAGUCUCCUGUGAGUCCCCAUCACCCCGAAGGGCACCCCUCCAUCUCUGGAAGGUUCCAGUGGAUUUAACCCAGGUAAGGUUCUGCGCGUUGCGUCGAAUUGAACCACAUGCUCCACCGCUUGUGCGGGCCCCCGUCAAUUCCUUUGAGUUUUAGCCUUGCGGCCGUACUCCCCAGGCGGAGUGCUUAACGCGUUAGCUGCGGCGCCGCAGGGGUCAAUACCCGCGACACCUAGCACUCAUCGUUUACGGCGUGGACUAA
rnacentral:misc_RNA from 1 species